rnacentral:lncRNA from 1 species
NNNNNNNNNNNNNNNNNNNNNNNNNNNNGCCUCCUCCGCGAACUGUCAACAAAGGAGAAUCAGGUUUGGCAUCGGGAGGCCUCCGGGCUGCCCGCCCUGAGCCCAGCUCAGCCCGGACCCACCGGCCACCUUAAGUGGCCGAGGGGGGCAACGAAAAUCUGCCAGGGCCUGGGGAUUCUGGUGGAGGCCUUGUGAGCUCAGCUGGCGUAGACCCCUGUGCGUAGAGCUCAGGACGCCCGCAGAGUGGGUAAGGGCAGUGGGGAUGUGCUCCCCCCACCUCCCCCACCCCCGCCUUAGCAUCACCUGUCACCGCGCCCAUCCUGCACACCUCCAUCUUCAUCUUUAAUUUGAGUGAGGGGACCGUUGAUUCCGUGCCAUAGAGUCUCAGCAUGUCCGCAGUGCCUGGACGCGGCUUUCCGAAAGAGGCCUGCAAGCUAGACCCCGGCUCCAUACCCUUGGACCUGUCUAUGUCUUCGUGGAACUCAAGUUUCCUGGUGUUUCUCUGGCCUUUGAUGUCUUCUUCCUCAUCCCGUCCAGCUGAUGUCAAACCCAUCACCCCUGGGGACUCACGGAGACUCUGCCAAUGCCUUGAAAUACAUCCUUAUUUCCACAAGGACAGACGGUCCCAGCCCAGCACAGUUCUGGAUUGUAUUUAUUUGAAAGAGAGAGAGCAUGGGGAGAGACAGAGGAGAGGGAGAAGCAGACUCCCCACGGAGCAGGGAGCCCAACACAGCGUUCAACCCCAGGACCCUGAGAUAAUGAUUGAGCUGAAAGCAGAGCUAUGGAAGCAACUGGGAGAGAAACCAGGAACCCAGGAUGAGACCGCAGCAGGGGAGGGAACUCACCAAACCUGGAGUUCCUCAAUAAGGUCCCAUCUGUCCCUUACCUGGACCCUCCCCUACAGAAGGCAGUGUGCCAAUCAUGUGCCCUCUGUUCUCCAGGUUCCAGCUACGCAAACUGUCCGCUUGAUCAGGACGUCCUCGCCUCAAACUGAAGACAACUUAAUAAAGUUGAUUUUCCACAUUUGGAAUGUCCCUUCUGUACCAUUUUGCCAAAGCUCGCCCUUGCCUGUUCUAAAAUCUAGCUCUGCCACAUCUCCUUCUGGAGCUCACCUCACUCCUGAACACCUGCACCGACCUUAG